rnacentral:rRNA from 1 species
UGUGGCGAAGAUAUCGUGUGUGGUAACACCUGUUCCCAUCCCGAACACAGCAGUUAAGCACCAUGGAGUCGAAGGUAGGCCUAAUUAAGCUGAGAAUAGAAAAUUGCCACGC